rnacentral:misc_RNA from 1 species
CUGAAGAUAAUUGGGGUCUUGAGACUGCAUUCAUCAUGCGUGCUCGACCCCUUCCUUCAUCCACACACACCUUUGUGCACUCAUGGGGACCUCGGUCCCCUUUUUACAUACAAACACCUAGUUUAAUGCAUGUCUAUCAUAAAAUGAUAAAAAUA